rnacentral:piRNA from 1 species
UUGAACGGUGUAGACCUGCUGGCCC